rnacentral:misc_RNA from 1 species
GAACGCACAUUGCGCCCUUUGGUAUUCCGAAGGGCAUGCCUGUUCGAGCGUCAUUAUCACCCCUCAAGCCCCGUGCUUGGUGUUGGACGGCUUGGUCGCGUCAACGCGACCCCUCCUAAAGACAAUGACGGCGGCCUGUGGUUCCCCCGGUACACUGAGCUUUUAACUGAGCACGUAUUGGAUAAGGGCACCCGGGACCCGGUCUUCUCCCUUUACCGGGAAAUUUUUCAAUGGUUGACCUCGGAUCAGGUAGGAAUACGCGCUGAACUUAAG